GAUGAACGCUGGCGGCGUGCCUAACACAUGCAAGUCGAACGGAGCACCCCGGAACGAGACUUCGGUCAAGGGAAGGGAAUGCUUAGUGGCGGACGGGUGAGUAACGCGUGAGGAACCUGCCUUCCAGUGGGGGAUAACACAUCGAAAGGUGUGCUAAUACCGCAUAACGUAUGUUUACCGCAUGGUAGAGAUACCAAAGAUUUAUUGCUGGAAGAUGGCCUCGCGUCCAAUUAGCUAGUUGGCGGGGUAAAUGCCCACCAAGGCGACGAUUGGUAGCCGGACUGAGAGGUUGAACGGCCACAUUGGGACUGAGACACGGCCCAGACUCCUACGGGAGGCAGCAGUGGGGAAUAUUGCACAAUGGGGGAAACCCUGAUGCAGCAACGCCGCGUGAAGGAUGAAGGUUUUCGGAUUGUAAACUUCUU
rnacentral:rRNA from 1 species